UUAAAGAGAGUUUGAUCCUGGCUCAGGACGAACGCUGGCGGCGUGCCUAAUACAUGCAAGUCGAACGAACCGACGAAAGAGCUUGCUCUUUCUGACGUUAGUGGCGGACGGGUGAGUAACACGUGGGCAACCUGCCUGUAAGUUGGGGAUAACUCCGGGAAACCGGGGCUAAUACCGAAUAAUAACAAGCGUCGCAUGACGCCUGUUUGAAAGAUGGUUUCGGCUAUCGCUUACAGAUGGGCCCGCGGUGCAUUAGCUAGUUGGUAGGGUAAUGGCCUACCAAGGCAACGAUGCAUAGCCGACCUGAGAGGGUGAUCGGCCACACUGGGACUGAGACACGGCCCAGACUCCUACGGGAGGCAGCAGUAGGGAAUCUUCCGCAAUGGACGAAAGUCUGACGGAGCAACGCCGCGUGUGUGAAGAAGG
rnacentral:rRNA from 1 species